rnacentral:rRNA from 1 species
UACGAAGGGGGCUAGCGUUGUUCGGAAUCACUGGGCGUAAAGGGCGCGUAGGCGGCCUGAUAAGUCGGGGGUGAAAGCCUGUGGCUCAACCACAGAAUUGCCUUCGGUACUGUUAGGCUUGAGACCGGAAGAGGUAAGUGGAACUGCGAGUGUAGAGGUGAAAUUCGUAGAUAUUCGCAAGAACACCAGUGGCGAAGGCGGCUUACUGGUCCGGUUCUGACGCUGAGGCGCGAAAGCGUGGGGAGCAAACAGG